UAGAGUUGUAAAACUCCCAAAACCCAUGUGAACAUACCUCUGUUGCCUCGGUGGCCUACCUGGUAGCUAUUCGUAGUUGCCCUGUAGUCCGCCGAAGGACCACUAAACUCUGUAUUAUAGUGGCAUCUCUGAGUAUAAAACAAAUAAGUUA
rnacentral:misc_RNA from 1 species